rnacentral:rRNA from 1 species
AGCGCACACGGUGGAUGCCUUGGCGGUCAGAGGCGAUGAAGGACGUGGCAGCCUGCGAAAAGUAUCGGGGAGCUGGCAACAAGCUUUGAUCCGGUAAUGUCCGAAUGGGGAAACCCACCCGCUUGCGGGUAUCCUGCAGUGAAUACAUAGCUGCUGGAAGCGAACCUGGUGAACUGAAAUAUCUAAGUAACCAGAGGAAAAGAAAUCAACCGAGAUUCCGUAAGUAGCGACGAGCGAACGCGGACUAGCCCUUAAGCUGAUUUGGUUCUAGGAAAACGCUCUGGAAAGAGCGGCCAUAGAAGGUGAUAGCCCUGUAUCUGAAAGGGCCAUUUCAGUGAAGACGAGUAGGGCGGGGCACGUGAAACCCUGUCUGAACAUGGGGGGACCAUCCUCCAAGGCUAAAUACUACUGACCGACCGAUAGUGAACCAGUACCGUGAGGGAAAGGCGAAAAGAACCCCGGAGAGGGGAGUGAAAUAGAACCUGAAACCGUGUGCGUACAAGCAGUAGGAGCUCCGCAAGGAGUGACUGCGUACCUUUUGUAUAAUGGGUCAGCGACUUACUGUUCGUGGCAAGCUUAACCGUAUAGGGGAGGCGAAGGGAAACCGAGUCUGAUAAGGGCGCAUAGUCGCGGGCAGUAGACCCGAAACCGGGUGAUCUAGUCAUGCCCAGGGUGAAGGUGCGGUAACACGCACUGGAGGCCCGAACCCACUCCCGUUGCAAAGGUAGGGGAUGAGGUGUGAUUAGGAGUGAAAAGCUAAUCGAACCCGGAGAUAGCUGGUUCUCCUCGAAAGCUAUUUAGGUAGCGCCUCAUAUGUAUCCUCUCGGGGGUAGAGCACUGUUAUGGCUAGGGGGUCAUCGCGACUUACCAAACCAUUGCAAACUCCGAAUACCGAGACGGACUGUAUGGGAGACACACGGCGGGUGCUAACGUCCGUCGUGAAAAGGGAAACAACCCAGACCCACAGCUAAGGUCCCAAAUUUUGUGCUAAGUGGAAAACCAUGUGGAAAGGCACAGACAGCCAGGAGGUUGGCUUAGAAGCAGCCACCCUUUAAAGAAAGCGUAAUAGCUCACUGGUCGAGUCGGUCUGCGGGGAAGAUUUAACGGGGCUAAGCACAGAACCGAAGCUUGGGGUGCAUACUUUGUAUGCGCGGUAGAGGAGCGUUCCGUAAGCCGUUGAAGGUGGAUUGAGAAGUCUGCUGGAGGUAUCGGAAGUGCGAAUGCUGACAUGAGUAACGAUAAUGCGGGUGAAAAACCCGCACGCCGAAAGCCCAAGGUUUCCUUGCGCAACGUUAAUCGGCGCAGGGUGAGUCGGCCCCUAAGGCGAGGACGAAAGUCGUAGUCGAUGGGAAGCAGGUUAAUAUUCCUGCACCUCGCGUAAGUGCGAUGGAGGGACGGAGAAGGUUAGGUGUACCAGGCGUUGGUUGUCCUGGGGAAAGGCGGUAGGUUUGGAUCUUUGGCAAAUCCGGGAUCCUUUAAGACCGAGCACCGAGACGAGCCUUUAAGGCGAAGUCACUGAUACCACGCUUCCAGGAAAAGCUCCUAAGCUUCAGCUUACGCAGACCGUACCGUAAACCGACACAGGUGGGUAGGAUGAGAAUUCUCAGGCGCUUGAGAGAACUCGGGUGAAGGAACUAGGCAACAUGGCACCGUAACUUCGGGAGAAGGUGCACCCUUUUUGGUGGCUCGUGCGAGCUAUAGCUGAAGAGGGUCGCAGUAACCAGGCCGCUGCGACUGUUUAUCAAAAACACAGCACUCUGCAAACACGAAAGUGGACGUAUAGGGUGUGACGCCUGCCCGGUGCUGGAAGGUUAAUUGAUGGGGUCAGCCGCAAGGCGAAGCUCUUGAUCGAAGCCCCAGUAAACGGCGGCCGUAACUAUAACGGUCCUAAGGUAGCGAAAUUCCUUGUCGGGUAAGUUCCGACCUGCACGAAUGGCGUAACGACAGCGGCGCUGUCUCCACCCGAGACUCAGUGAAAUUGAAAUCGCUGUGAAGAUGCAGCGUUCCCGUGGCAAGACGGAAAGACCCCGUGAACCUUUACUAUAGCUUUACACUGAACGUUGAGUUCGUCUGUGUAGGAUAGGUGGGAGGCUAUGAAACCAUGGCGCUAGCUGUGGCGGAGCCAUCCUUGAAAUACCACCCUGUCGUGCUUGACGUUCUAACCUGGGCCCAUUAUCUGGGUCGGGGACCGUGUAUGGUGGGUAGUUUGACUGGGGCGGUCUCCUCCUAAAGAGUAACGGAGGAGCUCGAAGGUACGCUCAGCGCGGUCGGACAUCGCGCACUGUGUGCAAAGGCAUAAGCGUGCUUGACUGCAAGAUCGACGGAUCAAGCAGGUAGGAAACUAGGACUUAGUGAUCCGGUGGUUCUGUAUGGAAGGGCCAUCGCUCAACGGAUAAAAGGUACUCCGGGGAUAACAGGCUGAUACCGCCCAAGAGUUCAUAUCGACGGCGGUGUUUGGCACCUCGAUGUCGGCUCAUCACAUCCUGGGGCUGUAGUCGGUCCCAAGGGUAUGGCUGUUCGCCAUUUAAAGUGGUACGCGAGCUGGGUUCAGAACGUCGUGAGACAGUUCGGUCCCUAUCUGCCAUGGGCGUUGGAGAUUUGAGAGGGGCUGCUCCUAGUACGAGAGGACCGGAGUGGACGAACCUCUGGUGUUCCGGUUGUCACGCCAGUGGCAUUGCCGGGUAGCUAUGUUCGGAAGCGAUAACCGCUGAAAGCAUCUAAGCGGGAAGCGCGCCUCAAGAUGAGAUCUCCCGGGGCACAAGCCCCCUGAAGGAACCAUGUAGACUACGUGGUUGAUAGGUCAGGUGUGUAAGUACAGCAAUGUAUUGAGCUAACUGAUACUAAUGAUCCGAGAGGCUUGACC